rnacentral:rRNA from 1 species
CAGCAGUGGGGAAUAUUGCACAAUGGGCGCAAGCCUGAUGCAGCCAUGCCGCGUGUAUGAAGAAGGCCUUCGGGUUGUAAAGUACUUUCAGCAGUGAGGAAGGUGGGUAUGUUAAUAGCAUAUUCAUUUGACGUUAGCUGCAGAAGAAGCACCGGCUAACUCCGUGCCAGCAGCCGCGGUAAUACGGAGGGUGCGAGCGUUAAUCGGAAUUACUGGGCGUAAAGCGCAUGCAGGUGGUUUGUUAAGUCAGAUGUGAAAGCCCGGGGCUCAACCUCGGAAUUGCAUUUGAAACUGGCAAACUAGAGUACUGUAGAGGGGGUAGAAUUUCAGGUGUAGCGGUGAAAAUGCGUAGAGAUCUGAAGGAAUACCGGUGGCGAAGGCGGCCCCCUGGACAGAUACUGACACUCAGAUGCGAAAGCGUGGGGAGCAAACAGGAUUAGUACCCUGGUAG